UGGGGAAUAUUGGACAAUGGGCGCAAGCCUGAUCCAGCCAUGCCGCGUGUGUGAAGAAGGCCUUUUGGUUGUAAAGCACUUUAAGCGAGGAGGAGGCUACUUGGAUUAAUACUCUAGGAUAGUGGACGUUACUCGCAGAAUAAGCACCGGCUAACUCUGUGCCAGCAGCCGCGGUAAUACAGAGGGUGCGAGCGUUAAUCGGAUUUACUGGGCGUAAAGCGUGCGUAGGCGGCUUUUUAAGUCGGAUGUGAAAUCCCUGAGCUUAACUUAGGAAUUGGAUUCGAUACUGGGAAGCUAGAGUAUGGGAGAGGAUGGUAGAAUUCCAGGUGUAGCGGUGAAAUGCGUAGAGAUCUGGAGGAAUACCGAUGGCGAAGGCAGCCAUCUGGCCUAAUACUGACGCUGAGGUACGAAAGCAUGGGGAGCAAACAGG
rnacentral:rRNA from 1 species